rnacentral:scRNA from 1 species
GGGGCGCUGUGGCUCACGCCUGGAAUCCCAGUUCUUAGAGAGGCAGAGGCGGGCAGAUAUCUUGAGCCCAGGAGUUCAGACCUGCCUGGGCAAUAUAGCUAGAACCUAUUCUCCACAAAAAG